GUCUGGGAAACUGCCUGAUGGAGGGGGAUAACUACUGGAAACGGUAGCUAAUACCGCAUAACGUCGCAAGACCAAAGAGGGGGACCUUCGGGCCUCUUGCCAUCGGAUGUGCCCAGAUGGGAUUAGCUAGUAGGUGGGGUAACGGCUCACCUAGGCGACGAUCCCUAGCUGGUCUGAGAGGAUGACCAGCCACACUGGAACUGANACACGGUCCAGACUCCUACGGGAGGCAGCAGUGGGGAAUAUUGCACAAUGGGCGCAAGCCUGAUGCAGCCAUGCCGCGUGUAUGAAGAAGGCCUUCGGGUUGUAAAGUACUUUCAGCGGGGAGGAAGGCGAUAAGGUUAAUAACCUUGUCGAUUGACGUUACCCGCAGAAGAAGCACCGGCUAACUCCGUGCCAGCAGCCGCGGUAAUACGGAGGGUGCAAGCGUUAAUCGGAAUUACUGGGCGUAAAGCGCACGCAGGCGGUCUGUCAAGUCGGAUGUGAGAUCCCCGGGGCUCAACCUGGGGAACUGCAUUCNAAACUGGGCAGGCUAGAGUCUUGUUAUAGGGGGGUUAGAAUUCCAGGUGUACGGUGAAAUGCGUAGAAAUCUGGANGAAUACCGGUGGCGAAGGCGGCCCCCUGGACAAA
rnacentral:rRNA from 1 species